UAGGGAAUAUUGGGCAAUGGCCGAGAGGCUGACCCAGCCAUGCCGCGUGCAGGAAGAAGGCCUUCUGGGUUGUAAACUGCUUUUAUCUAGGAAGAAAACGCCCCUGCGGGGGUAACUGACGGUACUAGAUGAAUAAGCACCGGCUAACUCCGUGCCAGCAGCCGCGGUAAUACGGAGGGUGCAAGCGUUGUCCGGAUUUAUUGGGUUUAAAGGGUGCGUAGGCGGCCCGUUAAGUCAGCGGUGAAAUCCCAGGGCUCAACCCUGGAACUGCCGUUGAUACUGGCGGGCUUGAGUUCGGUCGAGGCGGGCGGAACUGGUGGUGUAGCGGUGAAAUGCUUAGAUACCACCAAGAACCCCGAUUGCGUAGGCAGCUCGCUGGGCCGAAACUGACGCUGAGGCACGAAAGCGUGGGGAGCGAACAGG
rnacentral:rRNA from 1 species